GUUGUGAUGAAAUUAAUUGGUCCGUGUUUAUGAAUUUAUUUUAAUAUCUAAUGUUCACAGUGAGUAUC